rnacentral:rRNA from 1 species
CAGAUUGAACGCUGGCGGCAGGCCUAACACAUGCAAGUCGAGCGGUAACACAGAGAGCUUGCUCUCGGGUGACGAGCGGCGGACGGGUGAGUAAUGUCUGGGAAACUGCCUGAUGGAGGGGGAUAACUACUGGAAACGGUAGCUAAUACCGCAUAACGUCGCAAGACCAAAGUGGGGGACCUUCGGGCCUCAUGCCAUCAGAUGUGCCCAGAUGGGAUUAGCUAGUAGGUGGGGUAAUGGCUCACCUAGGCGACGAUCCCUAGCUGGUCUGAGAGGAUGACCAGCCACACUGGAACUGAGACACGGUCCAGACUCCUACGGGAGGCAGCAGUGGGGAAUAUUGCACAAUGGGCGCAAGCCUGAUGCAGCCAUGCCGCGUGUAUGAAGAAGGCCUUCGGGUUGUAAAGUACUUUCAGCGAGGAGGAAGGCGUUAAGGUUAAUAACCUUAGCGAUUGACGUUACUCGCAGAAGAAGCACCGGCUAACUCCGUGCCAGCAGCCGCGGUAAUACGGAGGGUGCAAGCGUUAAUCGGAAUUACUGGGCGUAAAGCGCACGCAGGCGGUCUGUCAAGUCGGAUGUGAAAUCCCCGGGCUCAACCUGGGAACUGCAUUCGAAACUGGCAGGCUAGAGUCUUGUAGAGGGGGGUAGAAUUCCAGGUGUAGCGGUGAAAUGCGUAGAGAUCUGGAGGAAUACCGGUGGCGAAGGCGGCCCCCUGGACAAAGACUGACGCUCAGGUGCGAAAGCGUGGGGAGCAAACAGGAUUAGAUACCCUGGUAGUCCACGCCGUAAACGAUGUCGACUUGGAGGUUGUGCCCUUGAGGCGUGGCUUCCGGAGCUAACGCGUUAAGUCGACCGCCUGGGGAGUACGGCCGCAAGGUUAAAACUCAAAUGAAUUGACGGGGGCCCGCACAAGCGGUGGAGCAUGUGGUUUAAUUCGAUGCAACGCGAAGAACCUUACCUACUCUUGACAUCCAGAGAACUUAGCAGAGAUGCUUUGGUGCCUUCGGGAACUCUGAGACAGGUGCUGCAUGGCUGUCGUCAGCUCGUGUUGUGAAAUGUUGGGUUAAGUCCCGCAACGAGCGCAACCCUUAUCCUUUGUUGCCAGCGGUUCGGCCGGGAACUCAAAGGAGACUGCCAGUGAUAAACUGGAGGAAGGUGGGGAUGACGUCAAGUCAUCAUGGCCCUUACGAGUAGGGCUACACACGUGCUACAAUGGCAUAUACAAAGAGAAGCGACCUCGCGAGAGCAAGCGGACCUCAUAAAGUAUGUCGUAGUCCGGAUUGGAGUCUGCAACUCGACUCCAUGAAGUCGGAAUCGCUAGUAAUCGUAGAUCAGAAUGCUACGGUGAAUACGUUCCCGGGCCUUGUACACACCGCCCGUCACACCAUGGGAGUGGGUUGCAAAAGAAGUAGGUAGCUUAACCUUCGGGAGGGCGCUUACCACUUUGUGAUUCAUGACUGGGGUGA